AGCCGGCACCAAGCAGCAAAGGAAGGCAAGACGAGCAGGUCGUCGACAGUAGUACUGAAGGCUUCCGCUAGUCGAGCCGGCCGGCGUCUCUUCCCUCUUUCCCACUGGAGCGUGCGGAGGUGCGAGCCUCCUCCUUGGCGAUUCCUCCUCGCAUCAUCAUAUCCCGCGCGGGUCACCUCAGCGUUCACGCAACCGCCGGCAUUUUCCUUCCCCGAAGAUGAUACCUGGCAAACGCACAACCGCAGCCAUGCCCGCCCCGGUGGUGGCGAUAUUUGGAGCCCUAAUGCUGCGCACCGUCUCCUCGCAAAACGCGGGCUUUGUGAAAUCACCACUCUCUGAAACCAAGCUCACGGGAGACACCUUUGAGCUAUUCUGUGACGUAGUGGGAAACCCCACCCCUGAAAUCCAGUGGUGGUACUCUGAGAUCAACCGAGCAGAUUCCUUCAGGCAGCUGUGGGACGGCGCCCGCAAGCGCCGGGUGUCCAUCAGCGCGGUGUACGGUGUCAAUGCGGUUAGUGUGCUGGGAGUAUCCUAUCUCACACUGGACGAUAUCGGGACGUACGAGUGCAGAGCAAGCAACGACCCAAGACGGAACGACCUGCACAUAAAUCCCGCCACCACCUGGGUCAGAGCACAGGCUACAAUAACAGUGCUGCAGAAGCCAUCUAUUGCUGCUUCUGAGCACACUUCCCUUCCCGUGGAAGGCCACAGUCUCCCUUUCACUCUGCAGUGCAACCUGACCAGCAGCGACAAUACCCUCCUGGAAAGCUACUGGAUGAAAAAUGGGGAGGAGAUCCCAGAAACACGCAGUCCAAAUAGGAACACCGAAUACAAGCUGAAUAAACCGAGAGGAGAUGAUGCUGGCGUGUACAUGUGCGUCUUCACCUUUGGAAUGUCUCCUGCUGCCAACACCACCAUUGAAGUUAAAGCUGCUCCUGAGAUUACGGGCCACAAGCGUAGCGAGAAUAAGAAUGAAGGCCAGCGUGCUUUGCUCUACUGUAAAUCUGUGGGCUUCCCUCAUCCCGUCUGGACCUGGCGCAAACUUGAGAACGGCAUAUAUAGGGAAAUUGACAACUCAUCCGGACGCUUCUCCAUCAGCAGCAAGGACAAUUACACUGAGCUCAGCAUCACCGAUCUGGACAUUAAUUUGGACCCGGGCGAGUACCAGUGUAACGCCACCAAUUUGAUUGGCAGCAGUGACGAGAGGUCUGUGCUUCGAGUCCGCAGCCAUUUGGCCCCAUUGUGGCCUCUCUUGGGGGUGUUGGCUGAGAUCAUCAUCCUGAUCGUCAUCAUCGUUGUUUAUGAGAAGCGUAAGAAGCCUGAGGAUUUACAAGACGGUGAGUCACCAACAAAUAGCAAAUAGAGCUCCAAUUUAUUGUGCAACUAUUUUAAAUACAAGGAGGAGAAUUGGAUUGUCAUGGAAGAAGAACAGAAUGAGCAUGAAAAAGCACAGAUUAUUUUUACGAAUACAACAAUAACAAAUACACCAAGAGGCUAUUUGAUCAUGGGUUUUAGAUGGAUUUGUGGGCUGAAUUUGUACAGAAUCUGAUUAACAUCAAUAAAAUGUGAGUGACGUAGAAAGCAGCAGUGCAUCAGCAUUAGGCAGGAAGAUGGUGUGCGGUUUAGUCCCGACACCAGGAGACUGUUGGACUGGAAACCCUCCAUUCUCCAAGUUUGUUCCGCUUACCUAUCCCCGGUGAUGGUAAUAAUGUAUGGCGAUGCAGAGCAGAUGGCGCGCCGCGCAGCCGUGCAGGAAAUCGGGAUGCUUGCCACCACACGCGCACGCACUUGUCGAGGCAAGCGCGCCAGUGUGGCCUGCGCCCUGCAGUCGCUACAAACCGUCGACGCGUUCUUCCGAUAUUCCCUCACCACAGACACCAACACGGCAACACCUGACACAGGUUGCACCUUGUCAGGACAAUUUCAUGCAUUUAAUAUUCAUGAGAAAUGGGAUACCGCAGUGUUGUGGAGAUGGACGUUCUCAAUGAUUCAUAGUGUUUCACGGACCUUCCGCGCUCCAAGCUGCCGGAGGCUCAACCAAAUAGCAACAUGGGACUUUCGAAUGCUACAGAGCCCUUCAUUCUCCUGCGUGCAUUCAUGGUAUUUUGUCGACCUGUUACUUUCCAACUGAAAACGUUGACAUUGCCACAUCUUGCCAUAUGUACGAGUGAUUCAUCUGUGACUUACUGUCACCGAAUGUGAUCAUAUUUUCAUAAAGGUUCAUUAGCUAAAAUGAAACUGACCGAGUAUUAAAAUAGUUUCUUUUUACAUUUCUGUCAUCCAUCCAUCCAUCCAUUUUCUCAGCCGCUUGCUUCUCCUCACUAGGGUCGCGGGCGUGCCGGAGCCUAUCCCAGCUGUCAUCGGGCAGGAGGCGGGGUACACCCCGAACUGGUUGCCAGCCAAUCGCAGGGCACAUUUCCGUAAUAGAAAUCCAAUUAACAUUGCUCGCGUGAGGCAGAAAUCAGAGUUUGUGCAUGAAUUGUUAAUCAUUCAUGUUGCAAUUGCAUUGCCUUAAAUUAGGUCAGCUUCCUCUGCUGAAUAUUUAAUUGUUAUAAUAUCUUCCUAUUCCCCUUUUCCCAAUGGCCCAACCUAACGCUGUUUGUGAUGAUGACCCAGUUGGACCAGUGAAAACCAAUUCAACCAACAACCACAAAGACAAGAACCUGCGCCAGAGGAAUACAAAUUGAGCU